CUGUCUGAACAUUCUUCAGAUUCUUCAUCGUGUCAGAGUUCUGCUCUUCUUCAUCUUCUUCAUCUUCAGACUUUGUGCAGUUUAGAUUUUAACAUUCAAUCCUUUCUACUGAAAACAAGUCGACCAAAGGACAGCAGCUCCUUCUCACCUGAUCUUUCUCCACCAACUCUACGGUAUCUCUCCUGCUGCUGACUCUAGAACUCAUCUCUCUCCUGUCAUUCAGAUCAACAUGAAGAUCUCUAUCUUUGCUGGUGUUCUGCUGAUCUCUGCUGCUCUCAUGUUCCUGGGACCAGAAACUGCAGAUGCUACGUUUGCUAAUAGGCAUAUCAACCCUGGGAUG